UACAGAGGUGGCAAGCGUUGUUCGGAAUUACUGGGCGUAAAGGGCGCGUAGGCGGCCUUCUAAGUCAGACGUGAAAUCCCCAGGCUUAACUUGGGAACUGCGUCUGAUACUGGGAGGCUUGAGUGCGGGAGAGGGAUGUGGAAUUCCAGGUGUAGCGGUGAAAUGCGUAGAUAUCUGGAGGAAUACCGGUGGCGAAGGCGGCAUCCUGGACCGACAUUGACGCUGAGGAGCGAAAGCUAGGGGAGCAAACGGG
rnacentral:rRNA from 1 species